GAUGCUCCUAAUGUACGGGCCUCUAGGUGCUGUCUGAAGACUGUCACGAUCUUUGCUGUUUCUGCACCAACAAACCUGACAUGAUGGAAAGAUGAUAAAACAGAACAUGGAGUUCACCAAGCAAUGAUUUGAGGAAGAAAUGUAGUUAAUAUUUUUCCCAGCAGAUGUGGCUGUUGGACCAGAAAAGGCUCAAGGUCAGUUCAGUUUGUUGUGGAAUAUUGAAAGUAGGAAAAAGAUCCUCUUCAUUCUCAUACUGGCAAAUGAUCUGAUGAAAUGUAAAAUUGGAGCAUUUAUUACAUGGAGUCAGUGGGAGACCUUUACAAAGUCGGACUUUGAUGAAGAUGAUGAGUGGCCAGUCCUGCCUCAGAGCCUCCUCUGAUCCAUGGGAGCCUGGGCUGCUCCACAGAAUGGUCCCAUGCCUCCGCACUGAUUUAUCAUCCAC